AUCUUUCCAUCUUGCUUUCCUUAUUAAUUCUAGAUAUUAAAUGCAACUAAUGAAAAAAAGUUCAUUAUGGGAGAGAAGGACUAAAGGAAGGAAUGACAUAACUUUUCAGAGCAAGGAAAAAUGGGGGGUAGGAAGACUUUGCACACAAAGGCAAUAGCUCAAAGGAUUUGAAAUUGUAGCAGACAUAUGGAUGAUCAAUAUUGAAGACAACAUCAAAUGAUGACUUUUUCCCUCUGAUUUUGCUGCAUGUAUUUUAAAAGACAAAUUUUUCCUGAUUUGGAGGUCUACCUUUCAUGACAGAUUCUACAUAGCUACUUUUCCCUUCCUUCUUCAUUAAUGAAGAACAGUAAUGAAGAACAGAGUUCCAAAGUCCAGAAGGGAACUGCAAUGAUCAAAGAUUUAUCACAAAACUUUGCUCAGCUCUGAGACAAGGACUCUACAUACUCCACACAUUCAAGCCCCAUUUUUCCUGCUACCAAGCAAAUGUUAUUAAGGUUAUAGAAAUGAAACACCUCAAAAUAAAGCAGGUUCUUUGCAACCACAACUAUUUCCCACAAGAUUCCUGCUUCAUUUGCUGUUGACAUUGGAUGUUAUGGAGACAAUGAAACCAGAUUUUUAGCCACAUUUUAGAAAAGAAUAAAUAUUGAACACGAGCCUGAGGUGGAAACAUAACAUAUUCAAUAUACUUUGUAUUUAUUCUUGUGAUUUUUACAUUUUCCAAACAACAAAAAAUGUUAAGCCAAGGAUGUAGAGUACAGACAGAGUGCAUGGUAGGCACCUUUAAGAAACCAAUUAACACUAAUUAAAGAAAAAAAUUACCACUUAUUUGUAUUCUCUGUACAGGCCAGGACCUACCAUAAGGCUACUCUGAAUUUACUCCAUUAGAAUCUUGUAUUAAAUGAGGAUCUCCAUGGCAGAGUAUUAUUUUGCUAUAUAUUGACGAUCCACUUUGCUAUGUAUUAAUUAUCUGUUGUCCUCUUUAUGUUCCCUGCGAGAGGAAAAUGACUGUUAGUGCAAGAGCUGGUUCCACACUCUGUGCUAAUGACAAAUUACCAUAUAGUGGUAAUGGCUAUGUGGCCAAUGGGCUCACGUAAGUCAGAGUUCGAGUAUUCAUUUCUAUUAUAUGAGGAAACAAGAACCUGUUCCAAUAGUUUGAUAUAUGUGAAGUUUUACAGCCAUUAUAAAAGGCAAAAAUUCUAACGUAACUACUGUUACUGUAUCUGAAGUCAGGACAGGCUGGUAUGAUACUUUUUGACAUAUACAAAGGAUCAAAAGGAAAUGUUCCUUCUUAACAGGAACAGUUCAUGCCUAGCUGGACACACAUUUUCUGAAGAUCAUUCUUGAAAAUUGAUACUCUUUUACAACGAAGUGCAGAAUGAGAAAAA